rnacentral:lncRNA from 1 species
CACUGAAUUACUAAACCCUGUGGGACUUUUGCUGGCUUGUCCCAACUUGUUCCUCACCCAGCAUCCCAGAAGUGAGGGAGCAGCGGUAGACAGCAUAGGUGGGCUGCUGGGCUGAGGGAUGGACCAGCCCUGGACCAGCUGGGGUUAUGAAUGGGGACUUUGCAGCAGCCCUGGGGAUGCAUCGGGCAUGGCUGAGAUGAAGGCAGCAGCCUCUGGAGCAGCACUGGGAGGAGACAGGGAUAGGGACAGCUGUAAACACCUGGAAAUUCAAGCAACAUCAGCAAAGCACGGUGCUGUCUUCAUGCUCAACAGAACCGAAGAGAAGCUCACUGAAGAUUGUGUCGACUGGACCACAACAGCUCCAGGACAUUUAACUUCAAGACGUGGUCAAAUGCUUCGUCAGCGCCCCUGCAUACAGCAUUAG